rnacentral:lncRNA from 1 species
UACUAUAAGAGUUAUUUUCUAAACACUAAAAAAUGAUUUUAAAGAAUAUUAAAAUUUUAGUUAUUUUUUAUUACGAAUUUCUUUUUUAGACACUAUCAAUUGGCUCCAAACUCUGAAAGCUAAAGAUAUUAGAAGUCCUAUAUAUCUUCCAAUUUCCUUCCCUACUCCCCUCAAUUUUGGAUAGUUCUUGGAUUCAUCUUUCUUUAAAUGUCCCUUCCCCUCCUCCCUGUCUCCCCUUUUUCUUCCUUCCCCUCCCGCUUCCUGGUUCAGGUCCAAUAUUGUUAACAGUAAAAUAACCCUUUCCCCUAUUCCCCUCCUCCUUU